CCAUGGGCACACUCCAACACUGACAUCACAGAGGCAGUAGAAAUUGACCAGGGAUGUUAACUUGAUAAGUSUGUGACCAUUUUCCUGUCCUGGGCCAUGAUGAUCUGGACGAGACUGCCAAAUCGAAGCAAAGGAAGACAUUGAUCUGUUUGCUGUUACCCUCUGGACAGCAGAUUACUAGUAUAGCUACAAGGAAAGGUAAUGUAACCUUAUUUAGUCCUAUUUGCAUUGGUGGGUUUUAAAUGAAUUGGUAUUCACACAUUUGUUUUUGAGGUAGAAUUACUGUCAUGUUAUUGAUGCCAAAUUGCCAACAUUAUUCCAGAACCAAUGGGUGAGCCUGAGUCUUAUCACCUCCACUUGGAAAGCUGUUUCCACUUCCUGUAAUAUUCCAGUCAUUGCAGGAAGUCCAGAAGAGGAGUGUGUGAAGGGUUUUGUCCCAGCCCAACUCUAACACCUGAUAAUCAACAUAACAAAUCACAGCGAUAGGCUAUGAUUUGUAAUCAGGUAUGCUUUGUAAUCAGGGGUGGAUUCAUAUACUGUAGAUGUUAUUGAUAUAUAACGCACGCUCCACUCUCAAGUUGAACUUGUUGACUGAUGCCAAGGCGAUGGUUGGCGAAGAUAAAGGGAGCGGCUGCAGACCAGAAGACUGCAGCCAAGGCAUCACUGGUCCACACCUGCCCUGUCCUAUCUAUUUGUAAAUUAAUGUACUGGCCUUUGUGGUAGUAAUUUGUGUAGUAAUUUGUUGCAUCGUAUUYCUCAGUUUAUCAUUUGUGUCAACUUUGAAUUCAAUCUUAGCCACAGAUUGUUAACUUAAUUCAWUUUGUACUUGACCUUUAUAGACGCAGACCCGAAGACAUUCAAGCAGCACUUUGAGAGCAUGUAUCCAAAGUCUUCAAUGGUCCCAGUACUGGUUGAUGUGCAGGCCUAAGUGACCACACACUCAAAUGGAACUCCAGCUAGGGUAAGAUACUUUCAUCAUUCACACACAGUAGACAUAGUCCAUGCUUUUGUCACU